ensembl:snRNA U2 U2 spliceosomal RNA
AUCGCUUCUCAGCCUUUUGGCUAAGAUCGAAUGUAGUAUUUGUUCUCGUCAGCUUAAUAAAGUCAGGCAAGCCAGUUGUAGGUCAAUGCGACAAGAAUUCAAGUUAUUCAAGUUAAAAGAUUUUUGUGAAAAAAAUCUUUUAAAAAAACAAGAGAAAAUGGCAUACCUUUUCAUUUCCUCCAC